rnacentral:rRNA from 1 species
GAUGAACGCUGGCGGCGUGCCUAAUACAUGCAAGUCGAGCGAACAGACGAGGAGCUUGCUCCUCUGACGUUAGCGGCGGACGGGUGAGUAACACGUGGAUAACCUACCUAUAAGACUGGGAUAACUUCGGGAAACCGGAGCUAAUACCGGAUAAUAUAUUGAACCGCAUGGUUCAAUAGUGAAAGACGGUUUUGCUGUCACUUAUAGAUGGAUCCGCGCCGCAUUAGCUAGUUGGUAAGGUAACGGCUUACCAAGUCAACGAUGCGUAGCCGACCUGAGAGGGUGAUCGGCCACACUGGAACUGAGACACGGUCCAGACUCCUACGGGAGGCAGCAGUAGGGAAUCUUCCGCAAUGGGCGAAAGCUUGACGGAGCAACGCCGCGUGAGUGAUGAAGGUCUUCGGAUCGUAAAACUCUGUUAUUAGGGAAGAACAAAUGUGUAAGUAACUAUGCACGUCUUGACGGUACCUAAUCAGAAAGCCACGGCUAACUACGUG